rnacentral:rRNA from 1 species
AGAGUUUGAUCCUGGCUCAGGAUGAACGCUGGCGGCGUGCUUAACACAUGCAAGUCGAACGGAGUUUAUACGGAAGGAGUCUUCGGACACCGGAAGUAUAAACUUAGUGGCGGACGGGUGAGUAACGCGUGGGUAACCUGCCUUAUACAAGGGGAUAACAGAGGGAAACUUCUGCUAAUACCGUAUAAAAAUAUUUCACGCAUGUGAGAUAUUUGAAAGAUUUAUCAGUAUGAGAUGGACCCGCGUCUGAUUAGGUAGUUGGUGAGGUAGAGGCUCACCAAGCCGACGAUCGGUAGCCGAUCUGAGAGGAUGACCGGCCACAUUGGGACUGAGACACGGCCCAAACUCCUACGGGAGGCAGCAGUGGGGAAUAUUGGACAAUGGGGGCAACCCUGAUCCAGCAAUUCUGUGUGCACGAUGAAGGUCUUCGGAUUGUAAAGUGCUUUCAGCAGGGAAGAAAAAAAUGACGGUACCUGCAGAAGAAGCGACGGCUAAAUACGUGCCAGCAGCCGCGGUAAUACGUAUGUCGCGAGCGUUAUCCGGAAUUAUUGGGCAUAAAGGGCAUCUAGGCGGCCGGAUAAGUCUGGGGUGAAAACUUGCGGCUCAACCGCAAGCCUGCCCUGGAAACUAUGCGGCUAGAGUGCUGGAGAGGUGGACGGAACUGCACGAGUAGAGGUGAAAUUCGUAGAUAUGUGCAGGAAUGCCGAUGAUGAAGAUAGUUCACUGGACGGCAACUGACGCUGAAGUGCGAAAGCUAGGGGAGCAAACAGGAUUAGAUACCCUGGUAGUCCUAGCUGUAAACGAUGAUUACUGGGUGUGGGCAUGAAGAGUGUCCGUGCCGAAGCUAAUGCGAUAAGUAAUCCGCCUGGGGAGUACGGCCGCAAGGCUGAAACUCAAAGGAAUUGACGGGGACCCGCACAAGCGGUGGAGUAUGUGGUUUAAUUCGAAGCAACGCGAAGAACCUUACCAGGCCUUGACAUUGACUGAAAGAGUUAGAGAUAACUCCCUCUCUUCGGAGACAGGAAAACAGGUGGUGCAUGGCUGUCGUCAGCUCGUGUCGUGAGAUGUUGGGUUAAGUCCCGCAACGAGCGCAA